rnacentral:rRNA from 1 species
AUUGAACGCUGGCGGAAGGCCUAACACAUGCAAGUCGAACGAGUGGCGGACGGGUGAGUAAUGUCUGGGAAACUGCCUGAUGGAGGGGGAUAACUACUGGAAACGGUAGCUAAUACCGCAUACCAUCGGAUGUGCCCAGCUGUGAUUAGCUAGUGGGGGGGGUAACGGCUCACCUAGGCGACGAUCCCUAGCUUGUCUGAGAGGAGGAACAGCCACACUGGAACUGAGACACGGUCCAGACUCCUACGGGAGUCAGCAGUGGGGAAUAUUGCACAAUGGGCGCAAGCCUGAUGCAGCCAUGCCGCGUGUAUGAAGAAGGCCUUCGGGGUGUAAAGUACUUUCAGCGGGGAGGCGUUACCCGCAGAAGAAGCACCGGCUAACUCCGUGCCAGCAGCCGCGGUAAUUG